AUCGGUUUGGAACACAGACCUUAUGAAAGCAGUUUUAGUAAAGCAGUUCACAGUAUUAGCGUUAUCCUCACUAGAUAUCUCUUCACCGCGAAACUCCUUCUUUAGUGCCCCAUAAGAAACAACUGAAUAACAAGCCUCUUUUGCCUUAUGGCAGCGACAAAAAAUAAAUGAAGGAAGUAUCAAUGUCUAAUAAAAUGACUGGUUUAGUAAAAUGGUUUGAUGCGGGUAAAGGUUUUGGCUUUAUUACCCCAACUGAUGGUAGCAAAGAUGUGUUUGUGCAUUUUUCUGCAAUUCAGAGCAACGAUUUUAAAACCCUGGACGAAGGCCAGAGCGUAGAGUUCUCGAUUGAGAAUGGCGCUAAAGGUCCUUCGGCCGCCAAUGUUGUUGCUGUUUA
rnacentral:sRNA from 1 species